UUGAUAGAAACCAAAAAGAGGUAUAUCACUGUUAAUGAUACUAUUGAGAUUAAUCUCCUAUCAA
rnacentral:tRNA from 1 species